AUUGAACGCUGGCGGCAUGCCUUACACAUGCAAGUCGAACGGCAGCACGGGAGCAAUCCUGGUGGCGAGUGGCGAACGGGUGAGUAAUAUAUCGGAACGUGCCCAGUAAUGGGGGAUAGCCCGGCGAAAGCCGGAUUAAUACCGCAUACGACCUACGGGUGAAAGCAGGGGAUCGCAAGACCUUGCGUUAUUGGAGCGGCCGAUAUCAGAUUAGCUAGUUGGUGGGGUAAAGGCCGACCAAGGCGACGAGCUGUAGCUGGUCUGAGAGGACGACCAGCCACACUGGGACUGAGACACGGCCCAGACGCCUACGGGAGGCAGCAGUGGGGAAUUUUGGACAAUGGGCGCAAGCCUGAUCCAGCCAUGCCGCGUGCGGGAAGAAGGCCUUCGGGUUGUAAACCGCUUUUGUCAGGGAAGAAACGCUCUGGGCUAAUACCCUGGGGUAAUGACGGUACCUGAAGAAUAAGCACCGGCUAACUACGUGCCAGCCGCCGCGGUAAUAC
rnacentral:rRNA from 1 species